rnacentral:lncRNA from 1 species
CAGUUGGAACAGAAUAUACUAAUAAUUUCUUAACACCUGCCUUGGUCUAUUUGGUUUUUUGCACAUGUGGAUGGAACUGACCCUGAGAUGUUACGUCAAGUUGGGAAAUUUGUAUCAUUUUCCAGUAGGUCUGAGGGAUGUGUGUUUCUGUUCAAAUGUAAUAAGUUCUAUUGACCUGUUUGCUGGUCAUUAUCUUGCCCACGUGUGGACUUUCUUGGAACACAGAUCAUUGGCUGAUCCCAACUAGGGGAGGGAUUCUGUGGUCCUUAAAAGCUGCUCCUCUGCUCACUUGCCUACAAAGCAAUCUUGGUUUAUCCCAGAGAGAGAACGGACAAGACAGAUUUAUUUAUUUUUUUAAAAAAAUCUAAGAACACAGCCUUACUCAAGAAAGAAAGAUGAAACUUCAAAUGAUCUGCAUGCUCUUCAUUUUACUUAGUGCUACUACCAGAAACCUCUGUGCAUUCACCAUUCAGAGAGAUGCCCAGAAAGACUUGGCCAGUUUGGACCCUUACAAGACAGAAAGCAUGGGACUGCAGGCAUUGCUAGGAAGACCCAAGCGUCACGUCAGUCACAUUGCUCUCUGCAGAUAUUGCUGGGACUGUUGUGGAAACAAAGGUUUUGGUUACUGCUGUCGGACAUGAAAAGGACAAAGUCCAUGAUAGAUGACAACUCUGCUAUGGAGAUGUCCUUCUCCUUGUAGACAUGACCACCUUCAAAAAAACCUCCUCCCAUUGGUCUCUGGGUCUCCUGACACAUUCUCCUUAUUUAUUAGUUUGACAAUAUUUGGUGUUUUUGUUUUGCUUGAUGUUCUUGUCAGUUCUUGAGAAUUAAACGUAUUUUUAUCUCAUAUGCGCUGUUACCGAUUUGUGAUUCUCUACCUCUGGAUUAUAUUUUCCUGCCUUAAGA